rnacentral:rRNA from 1 species
GAUGAACGCUAGCGGCAGGCUUAAUACAUGCAAGUCGAACGAACAGUAAUGUUAGUGGCGCACGGGUGCGUAACGCGUAUGCAACUUGCCUUUAACUGGGGGAUAACGUUUCGAAAGAGGCGCUAAUACCGCAUAAUACAGUGAAGACACAUGUUUUAUUGUUAAAGCUCCGGCGGUUAAAGAUGGGCAUGCGUAGGAUUAGCUAGUUGGUAAGGUAAUGGCUUACCAAGGCGACGAUCCUUAGGGGUUCUGAGAGGAAGGUCCCCCACACUGGUACUGAGAUACGGACCAGACUCCUACGGGAGGCAGCAGUAGGGAAUAUUGGUCAAUGGGCGCAAGCCUGAACCAGCCAUGCCGCGUGCAGGAAGAAUGCCCCUCUGGGUUGUAAACUGCUUUUGACAGGGAAGAAAUCACUUAUGCGUAAGUGUCUGACGGUACCUGUAGAAUAAGCACCGGCUAACUCCGUGCCAGCAG